rnacentral:misc_RNA from 1 species
GAUGAAGAACGCAGCGAAAUGCGAUAAGUAAUGUGAAUUGCAGAAUUCAGUGAAUCAUCGAAUCUUUGAACGCACCUUGCGCUCCUUGGUAUUCCGAGGAGCAUGCCUGUUUGAGUGUCAUGAAUCUCUCAAACUCUUAGUUUCAUUACUGAGUGUUUAGAUUUGGAGGUCUAUGCUGGCGCAAGUCAGCUCCUCUUAAAUACAUUAGCUUGGGUCUUGCAUGUCUGGAUCCUUGGUGUGAUAAUUAUCUACGCCAUGAUGUCCCUUCAAGCCCUGCUUCUAAUCGUCUGAAUAAGACAAUUUAUUACUUGACAUCUGACCUCAAAUCAGGUAGGACUACCCGCUGAACUUAAGCAUAUCAAUAAGCGGAGGA